AGGACGAACGCUGGCGGCGUGCUUAACACAUGCAAGUCGAGCGGAAAGGCCCUUCGGGGUACUCGAGCGGCGAACGGGUGAGUAACACGUGAGUAAUCUGCCCCUAGCUCUGGGAUAGCUCCGGGAAACCGGGAUUAAUACCAGAUACGACCACUUUAGACAUCUUCUGUGGUGGAAAGAACUUCGGCUAGGGAUGAACUCGCGGCCUAUCAGCUUGUUGGUGAGGUAACGGCUCACCAAGGCGACGACGGGUAGCCGGCCUGAGAGGGCGACCGGCCACACUGGGACUGAGACACGGCCCAGACUCCUACGGGAGGCAGCAGUGGGGAAUAUUGCGCAAUGGGCGAAAGCCUGACGCAGCGACGCCGCGUGGGGAUGAAGGCCUUCGGGUUGUAACCCCUUUCAGCAGGGACGAAGCGAAAGUGACGGUACCUGCAGAAGAAGCGCCGGCUAACUACGUGCCAGCAGCCGC
rnacentral:rRNA from 1 species